UACGGAGGGUGCGAGCGUUGUCCGGAAUCAUUGGGCGUAAAGGGCGCGUAGGUGGCCCGGUCAGUUCGUGGUGAAAGCGCGGGGCUCAACCCUGCGUCGGCCAUGAAUACUGCCGCGGCUGGAGCACUGUAGAGGCAGGCGGAAUUCCGGGUGUAGCGGUGAAAUGCGCAGAUAUCGGGAGGAACACCAAUGGCGAAGGCAGCUCGCUGGGACGGUACUGACGCUGAGGCGCGAAAGCGUGGUGAGCAAACAGG
rnacentral:rRNA from 1 species